rnacentral:pre_miRNA from 1 species
AAAAUACUCCCUCCGUUCGGAAUUACUUGUCUCGGAAAUGGAUGUAUCUAGAACUAAAAUACGUCUAGAUACAUCCAUUUCUGCGACAAGUAAUUCCGAACGGAGGGAGUAUGUU